GUGUCAGCAGCCGCGGUAAUACGUAGGGGGCGAGCGUUGCUCGGAAUUACUGGGCGUAAAGGGUGUGUAGGCGGCUGAGCAAGUCGUGGAUGAAAUCCCGAGGCUUAACCUCGGAAUGGUCCUCGAUACUGCUCGGCUUGAGGGCAGUGGAGGAGAAUGGAAUUCCCGGUGGAGCGGUGAAAUGCGUAGAUAUCGGGAGGAACACCUGAGGCGUAGGCGAUUCUCUAUGCUGUUCCUGACGCUGAGAUACGAAAGCUAGGGGAGCGAACGGGAUUAGAUACCCCGGUAGUCCUAGCCUUAAACGAUGGGCACUAGAUAUUCCCGCGUUUCUGCGGGAGUGUCGCAGCUAACGCGUUAAGUGCCCCGCCUGGGGAGUACGGUCGCAAGGCUGAAACUCAAAUGAAUUGACGGGG
rnacentral:rRNA from 1 species